rnacentral:lncRNA from 1 species
CAAACAUCUAAGAAUCCUGCCAGAGAAAAUGAACCAUAGGCAUCUUUGUCUUCCACAAAGUGCUUCUAAGAAGGGAUUGAACUCAGGUCCUUGUGCUUGUGCAGCAGGCAGCGAAACCACUGAGCUAAAUCCCCAGCCCCAGACUCCCCUGAUUCUAAUGGGACUAAUGAGAUAUAACCUAAAAGGAGAUGGAAUUUUGGUGAAAGAUGCAAAGCAUGCGGAAUACACAGCAGUCUCCUCUCAAAGUGAGGACAGCGGGUUCCCAUUGGGCAUGGGACCACAAAACUUACUGCGCAAAAGCAUAUUAUUAAUGAAUGGGGUUGAUUCUGAUUCUUCUAUGACCCUUAAAGAUUGUUAUUACAGCAUUGAAAACUCUUACUAUGUGUUAUAAAGGUAUAAAAAAUUUAAAAAUAAUGAAACUAACAUUAUUCAGUGCUCUGUUUAAAAAUAUUAGAAAGGUUGAGAAAAGGUAAAACUUGUAAGGUGUAGUUGGAAUAGUGCUGUCUUUUUCUUCUUGUUGAAUAACUUGCUGCAGGGGUGAACAUCUACCAAAAGUCUUGGCAAAACUGUCCUACUCCUUUCUAAGGCUGAAGCAGCUCUCAGCAUGGGGUCUUGCUGCUAGCAAUAACCAUCAAUUAUCUCUGUAAGUUCCUUCAAUGCAACAGUUUUUCUAUUUUUGGCCAGUGUCAUUUUCACUGGGGCACCUUUACUUUGUCACAAUGACUUUCUUCAUUUAGUAAAUUCCUCUGAAAUCUCUUGAAUGUCAGCAACGCCAAAAUUUCCAAGAUUAACUAUCACCAUAUUUACAUUGAUUUGUAUUUUGCUUCUGGUAGAGUUUUAUUUGUUCAUUUCACUUCUGUUUUUGUUAUGAGUUCCCUCCUUUGAUAAUCCAUUUUUGCAUCAUUUUGUGUGUAUAUCACUGGGAGGAAGGAGGUCCAACUGAGUACUGCUGUGUAUGUAUGAAGUGACUAAUGGAUGUGCAGUGACCAAUCACCAAUGUGCUCUGUAGGAAAGGAGGUGAUUGAUCACUAAUAUGAUGGGGGUCAGUUAUGUGUGAUUUGUGGACCAAAAACUUAACAGUAAACUCUGUAUUUUAUGCACUUUUAAUACAUGUAUCAAAUAUAACUAAAAUUUGAGCCCUGUUGUUAGGAGGAUUGUGUUUUUUCAUAUUGAGCUAAGAGUUGUAUGUAGUAAUUAAAACUUAAGCCUAUCUGAUCUGUGCAAAUUAAGGACUAAUUGGUAUGUAGCUGCUAUGCUUAGUACCACUGCUGUCAGCUUUACUCCCACUACUCUUAACUCUUCUAUUGAAUGCCUACUAUGUGCCAGCCAUUAUUUGGCUCUUUCAAAAAAUUAGCUCAUUUAAUAUUCCCAUGAAAUCUAUGUGGUAAUAUAAUCUCUAUGGUGCUGAAUGAGAAAACUGGCAUAAUCAUACUUAGGAACUUUUCUAAAAAUUCCUCAAUAAGUAGCUAGAAUGAGGCCAAUAUAAUUUGAAAGCCUAUGGUAGUCUUGUAUUUCACUUUAUCAACUACUUUUAAUUUGGUCAACUAAAGUUUCCUAGAAAAUAAGGUUCUUUAGUUGUAAUUUCAAGUGGGGCUCAGAAGAUAAUUUAUAUAUUUUUUCUUAAAUUCUUUUAUUGGUACAUUGUAGGUAUACAACACAAUUACAUUUCUCAUUGGGAAUUGUACCUUUACAUGAUGCAUCU